rnacentral:rRNA from 1 species
AUUGAACGCUGGCGGCAGGCCUAACACAUGCAAGUCGAACGGUAGCACAGAGGAGCUUGCUCCUUGGGUGACGAGUGGCGGACGGGUGAGUAAUGUCUGGGAAACUGCCCGAUGGAGGGGGAUAACUACUGGAAACGGUAGCUAAUACCGCAUAACGUCGCAAGACCAAAGAGGGGGACCUUCGGGCCUCUUGCCAUCGGAUGUGCCCAGAUGGGAUUAGCUAGUAGGUGGGGUAACGGCUCACCUAGGCGACGAUCCUUAGCUGGUCUGAGAGGAUGACCAGCCACACUGGAACUGAGACACGGUCCAGACUCCUACGGGAGGCAGCAGUGGGGAAUAUUGCACAAUGGGCGCAAGCCUGAUGCAGCCAUGCCGCGUGUAUGAAGAAGGCCUUCGGGUUGUAAAGUACUUUCAGCGAGGAGGAAGGCAUUAAGGUUAAUAACCUUGGUGAUUGACGUUACUCGCAGAAGAAGCACCGGCUAACUCCGUGCCAGCAGCCGCGGUAA